rnacentral:rRNA from 1 species
UGAGGCGUGGCUUCCGGAGCUAACGCGUUAAGUCGACCGCCUGGGGAGUACGGCCGCAAGGUUAAAACUCAAAUGAAUUGACGGGGGCCCGCACAAGCGGUGGAGCAUGUGGUUUAAUUCGAUGCAACGCGAAGAACCUUACCUGGUCUUGACAUCCACAGAACUUUCCAGAGAUGGAUUGGUGCCUUCGGGAACUGUGAGACAGGUGCUGCAUGGCUGUCGUCAGCUCGUGUUGUGAAAUGUUGGGUUAAGUCCCGCAACGAGCGCAACCCUUAUCCUUUGUUGCCAGCGGUCCGGCCGGGAACUCAAAGGAGACUGCCAGUGAUAAACUGGAGGAAGGUGGGGAUGACGUCAAGUCAUCAUGGCCCUUACGACCAGGGCUACACACGUGCUACAAUGGCGCAUACAAAGAGAAGCGACCUCGCGAGAGCAAGCGGACCUCAUAAAGUGCGUCGUAGUCCGGAUUGGAGUCUGCAACUCGACUCCAUGAAGUCGGAAUCGCUAGUAAUCGUGGAUCAGAAUGCCACGGUGAAUACGUUCCCGGGCCUUGUACACACCGCCCGUC